UUGAACAAUACUCUCUCAUAGCUUACAUUUGCGUUGAUGUAUUAGUUACCAAAGAUUAACCAUUUCUUGGAUCUAUGCGUGGCAUGCUCAUGGUAUUACCUUCUGAACUUUAUAUUACAGCUUCGCAGAAUUCCAGAAUGGAACUUCACAAAAUCAGACUUUUUGUUGCAUGGAUGUUGUUAAGCUUGAUGGCUGGAAAAGCUAGCAGUAAGUGUGAGGGGGAAGUUAUUGUUAAGACACAAGUCAAUGGAACUCUUGAUUCCAAGAGCCUCAUGCCAUGCCAGUUUGACAGCAGCCUCCUCAGUCAGGCCACACAGGGGAAUACAGCUGUUGUGUGGACUUUAAAAAAAAACAACAUAACAACAUCACAGUACCUAGUCGAAAUUGGAUUUUCAAAACCACCCACCUUCUGGAAUGCACGACAGGGCAGAAUCAUCCCCUUUGCAGGUCUGUCAAAGAGGGAAACUUUUCCAUACUUCUCAACAGAACACGGUUAGAAGAUCAAGGGAUAUACUUGUGUGAGCUGUAUGAUGGUGUUAACUGCAGUUUGGGAGUGCAGGAGAUUCAAUUCACAAUAACAGGUCUUCCUUUAGAAGCUGCUGAUGCGUCCCCUGGUAUGAUGUGGUCUGUCUUUACAAUGAUAAACUGUAUCCUGCUCUAUGCUUUCUGCUGUUCAUUCUAAGAAUGUGUUUUAUAUUACAUUUCAAGGAAUUCAGUGUUUUUAUUGAUUCAUCUUUGUCAAGUUUGUAUAGGAGGCAAACAAGAUGGGCAUGUUGACAUAAAUACAUUAUUGCUUGUAAUUGAUGUUCAAUUUUUAUCAAAGAAAAAAUGUAACUACCUUUUUACUUUCGCUAACAUGUCUCAUCCUUUGUUUUUCUAACAUACUUAUAUGAAUAAUAAAAUAAGAUCAAACUAUCUGCUAAAGUAAGAAAAUAAGUUUUCUAAUGUAAUAGCUUUCAACUUUUGCAAGAGCAACUCAUUUUUUUUUAAAUGUUCUUAUGUAUAAUCUUAGUGAACCAUCAUUGUAGAUGUCAGUUGCUGUUUACCAAACCACAACAGAAUAACCACAUAUGUGAUGUUGCCAGAAGCAUGCCUUUUAAAUAAACCGUUUGGAUUAUGCUUUUAGAAAUACAAAAUGAAACAAAAUAAAUUCAACAGCAAAAAUGUUGACCAGUCUUCAAGACAUAACACCAACUCUAGUAAAAAUGUUUGUCCUUGAAUGUAUUUAGAUUCUUUUGGUAUUUCCAAGUGUAACCUUAUUGAGUGUCAUUCUUGUUAUGGAUGAUGGUGAUGUAUUAUUUUGUUACUAGCUCAGCAUUUUUGAUGAAAUAUUGCAGUAAAAGGGAUAUUGGUCUUACUUUCUCUUGCUCUUUUGGGGGGAGUAGUGUAAUAUAUGCUGAAUUAUAGACUCAAAAUGUACUAGUUCUUAGUAGAACUGAGAAAAUGUUGUAACAUUAAAUAGAGAAAGCCUCUUCUCCAUGGGGACUUACCAUGUCAUUUUAAUUAGAUUUGUUGUGCAGUUUAGCAAUAUUUAAUCAUUUGCUGGACUAUUGGCCUUUUUGAUUAUUAAUUCUGUUUUUAUUAUAAUUAUUUUGGGGACACCAAGUGGGCUUGUCUGACUCUCCCAUGUGUUUAUAAGUGUAUUUUUUUUUUUUGUAUCUUUAGAUGGUUCAUUUAACUUUAACUUUAACUUUUAAGAAAACCUUUAUUAGAA